rnacentral:rRNA from 1 species
CCUACGGGAGGCAGCAGUGAGGAAUAUUGGUCAAUGGACGAGAGUCUGAACCAGCCAAGUAGCGUGAAGGAUGACUGCCCUAUGGGUUGUAAACUUCUUUUAUAUGGGAAUAAAAUGUUCCACGUGUGGGAUUUUGUAUGUACCAUAUGAAUAAGGAUCGGCUAACUCCGUGCCAGCAGCCGCGGUAAUACGGAGGAUCCGAGCGUUAUCCGGAUUUAUUGGGUUUAAAGGGAGCGUAGGUGGAUUGUUAAGUCAGUUGUGAAAGUUUGCGGCUCAACCGGAAAAUUGCAGUUGAAACUGGCAGUCUUGAGUACAGUAGAGGUGGGCGGAAUGCGUGGUGUAGCGGUGAAAUGCUUAGAUAUCACGAAGAACUCCGAUUGCGAAGGCAGUUCACUGGACUGCAACUGACACUGAGGCUCGAAAGUGUGGGUAUCAAACAGGAUUAGAUACCCGAGUAGUC